AGUAAAGUCGCUGUUGUCGUUGCUUCCAGCUCCAGCGUUCUAUGAGCGCCGGUCUUGUCUCCCCCAGCUAAAUUGUGAGCGCCCCCAUGGCAGGGACCUGGACUCCCCCUUCUUCGGCAUUCGGCCGGCCUUUAUGUGCUAUGUGCCCAGCCCGGUGCUGGCUUCCGUGGGAGACACAGGUGAGAGACGAGGGCGCCGGCCCCGGGGACGCUUCCAGUUCCCGCGCCACGUGUGGCACCUCCGCUGCAGCACGAGCUCGUCCAUUGACCCAUCAAUGUGCAGAGCGCUCACUGCGUGCCAGGCACUCGGAAUUCAAAGGCGGAGUCCCCUGCUAGGAGCUCACAGUCUGGUUGCGGGGAGACCUCCCCCAAGACAGACAGUUCCAGUACAGGAUGAUGACAGAUUUGAAGAUCUGGAAGAGGCAAAUCCAUUCUCUUUUAGAGAGUUUCUGAAGACCAA
rnacentral:lncRNA from 1 species